GAUGAAGAACGUAGCGAAAUGCGAUAAGUAAUGUGAAUUGCAGAAUUCAGUGAAUCAUCGAAUCUUUGAACGCACAUUGCGCCCUUUGGUAUUCCUUAGGGCAUGCCUGUCUGAGCGUCAUUUCAACCCUCAUGCCCCUAGGGCGUGGUGUUGGGGAUCGGCCAAAGCCCGCGAGGGACGGCCGGCCCCUAAAUCUAGUGGCGGACCCGUCGUGGCCUCCUCUGCGAAGUAGUGAUAUUCCGCAUCGGAGAGCGAUGAGCCCCUGCCGUUAAACCCCCAACUUUCCAAGGUUGACCUCAGAUCAGGUAGGAAUACCCGCUGAACUUAAGCAUAUCAAUAAGCGGAGGA
rnacentral:misc_RNA from 1 species